rnacentral:rRNA from 1 species
CUACACAGAGUAGAUCGUCGGCAGCGUCAGAUGUGUAUAAGAGACAGACCAAAUCGAGAUGAACUCUGAAUACCCUGUGUGUAGCGAGGCAGUCAGACUGUGGGGGAUAAGCUCCAUGGUCGAGAGGGAAACAGCCCAGACCGCCAGCUAAGGUCCCCAAAUCAACACUAAGUGAUAAAGGAGGUGGGAUUGCAUAGACAACCAGGAGGUUUGCCUAGAAGCAGCCAUCCUCAAAGGAGUGCGUAAUAGCUCACUGGUCGAGCGAUCCUGCGCCGAAAAUGAACGGGGCUAAGUGUUGUACCGAAGCUGCGGAUUUAUGGUAGGGGAGCGUUCUAUGUGGGGCGAAGCAUUAGCGUGAGCGGAUGUGGACUGCAUAGAAGUGAGAAUGUCGGCUUGAGUAGCGAAAACAUGGGUGAGAAUCCCAUGCACCGAAACCCUAAGGGUUCCUCCGGCAGGCUCGUCCGCGGAGGGUUAGUCUGGACCUAAGGCGAGGCCGAAAGGCGUAGUCGAUGGAUAACAGGUCAACAUUCCUGUACCGGUUAUGUUUUGGGAAGAGGGACGGAGAAGGCUAGCCAAGCCAGAUGUUGGUUACUGGUUCAAGCGUUCGAGGCGUUGAGGAUCGGCGAAAACGAUCCGAGCUGAGGCGUGAGUACGAGCUGCUACGGCAGCGAAGUUGGUGAUGUCAUGCUUCCAAGAAAAGCUCUAUACCCGUUAAGACAUGAUUGCCAGUACCCGAAACCGACACAGGUGGGGUGGUAGAGAAUACCGAGGUGCGCGAGGUAACUCUCUCUAAGGAACUCGGCAAAAUGGCCCCGUAACUUCGGGAGAAGGGGUGCCACAGCAAUGUGGUCGCAGUGAAGAGGCCCUGGCGACUGUUUACCAAAAACACAGGUCUCCGCUAAGUCGCAAGACGAUGUAUGGGGGCUGACGCCUGCCCAGUGCCGGAAGGUUAAGGAAGCCGGUCAGCGUAAGCGAAGCUGGCGACUGAAGCCCCGGUGAACGGCGGCCGUAACUAUAACGGUCCUAAGGUAGCGAAAUUCCUUGUCGGGUAAGUUCCGACCCGCACGAAAGGCGUAACGAUCAGGGCGCUGUCUCGGAGAGAGGCUCGGCGAAAUAGAAUUGUCUGUGAAGAUGCGGACUACAUACACCCGGACAGAAAGACCCUAUGAAGCUUUACUGUAGCUUGGUAUUGUGCCCGGGCUCUGAAUGCGCAGGAUAGGUGGGAGACGUUGAUCUAGUGCUCGUGGGUACUAGGGAGUCAAUGGUGAGAUACCACUCUUUCAGAGCUAGGGUUCUAACGUUCACCCGUUAUCCGGGGAGCGGACAGUAUCAGGUGGGCAGUUUGACUGGGGCGGUCGCCUCCUAAAAGGUAACGGAGGCGCGCAAAGGUUUCCUCAGGCUGGUUGGAAAUCAGCCGACGAGUGCAAAAGCAGAAGGAAGCUUGACUGUGAGACCUACAAGUCGAACAGGGACGAAAGUCGGCUUUAGUGAUCCGACGGUUCUGAGUGGAAGGGCCGUCGCUCAACGGAUAAAAGUUACUCUAGGGAUAACAGGCUGAUCUCCCCCAAGAGUUCACAUCGACGGGGAGGUUUGGCACC